rnacentral:rRNA from 1 species
CAGCAGCCGCGGUAAUACGUAGGGUGCGAGCGUUAAUCGGAAUUACUGGGCGUAAGCGUGCGCAGGCGGUUCGUUAAGACAGAUGUGAAAUCCCCGGGCUUAACCUGGGAACUGCAUUUGUGACUGGCGAGCUAGAGUAUGGCAGAGGGGGGUAGAAUUCCACGUGUAGCAGUGAAAUGCGUAGAGAUGUGGAGGAAUACCGAUGGCGAAGGCAGCCCCCUGGGCCAAUACUGACGCUCAUGCACGAAAGCGUGGGGAGCAAACAGGAUUAGAUACCCGAGUAGUCCCUGUCUCUUAUACC